UUACUCCUCCCUCUCCACCGCCUCCCGCUGCAGCGCGGCGGAGCUCGGGCUGUGGAGUAGCGGAGGGGCCGGGUAGGCCGUUGGCCGCCAUCGUCCCCCCCCCUCGGAGCGCGGCCGCAGCGGCGGAGGGGGAGGGAAGGGAAGGAUUUCAGGCUCAUGUAUGUGAAAGAAAGCACUGAAAUAAGUGAGAAAGCAGCAGCGAAACAAUGCAAAGAAGAGCAGUGACCUGCAAUCAUGCACCCAGAAGAAAUCCUCUGCUGCAGAACUCACGCUGUCUGCGAGGUCUCUGCAGGUGCGCUGUGUUGUUGUUGCCGCAACGUGCCAUCAUUUCCUGUGUGACAGUCUUUAAGACCACCACAAGUAGGGUAAAUAUGCCGUUCCUCAUGACACUGGACAAGUUAAUGACACAGCUGUUUGCAGAAGGGAGGUUGUAAUGUCGCGCCGAGUAGAAGAAAUACUGCCUGUUAUGUAAUACCAUUGACCUCUGUUAUGAAUUGUCUGGAAUAUUCUUCUUAUCCCUCAAAGAUUCCUCUGUCUGCGCAGCUCCAGGCCUCAGCGAAAUCCUGUGCAGUUAAUUAGGUCCUUACUUGUAGCAGAGACUCCUGCAGAGGCGGAUGCUUUAACCUGGAUAACAGAUGCACCAGAAGCAAUUAGAAAUGCAAGAAAAAACACGGGAAGCAAUCAAAGAGGGAGGAAAGAGGUAAAGGUGGUGCUUUAGGAGUACAAUUUGCAGGAGAAGUGGGAAGCAGUGCUUGUAGUUAAAUGGGAUGAAUUCCAUUAUAUCAAAUCAAGGUACAAAGGGGAAAUGGAGACCCUUGUCAACCUGAAAUUUAUAGAUCACAAACAACAUUUUUUCUGUUUUGUCCUCCACUGGUAGCACAGAAGAAGAAUGAUGAUCCACUGCAUGAUUCUGAGUCUACAAUUCAACGUUUUUCUCUGCUUUGGUUGCUUUUCUUCCCCAUUUAUGCGUAUGGAACAACUUUCCCUGUUGGUCAGCUGCUGUGGCUGAAGAGGGGAGCAAGAAGGGAGCUGGAGCAGAGCAAGGGCAAGAAGGGUUGGUCCAAUUCAACGGCAAUUCCAGCCUCAAACACGGGCAGCUCUGUGUGUCUCCUGCUAUCAGUCUGUGCUACUCCUUCUGCAGCAAGCUGGAUGCCUGACAUUGCUAAUGCUUUGGGGUGCUGCCACCCAGGCUCUGAGCUCAUGAGGGUCCUAUGUGAGGUUAGAGAAUCACAGAAUCAUGAAAUUAUGGAAUCGUAGGGGUUGGAAGGGACCUCUGGAGAUCAUCCAGUCCAACCCCUCCUAAAGCAGGUUCUCUGCAGUAGGUACAAAUGGUAAUAACCUAACUUGGAGAGGUUGUCCAUGCUCUGGCAGGCUGAAAAUUACCGUAAAUAAGAAUUACAAUGGAGCAUCGUCAUCGGAGUGAGCAGAGAUGUGAAAGGAGAAUAACAUUCCCACUAGAACUGAAUGAAUGUAACAUCCCACAACAGAGUGGAAACUGAAACUGGGAACGGGAAAUGCUUAGAUCGUGUCUCUGUAUAAGGGAUCCUCCCUGAGCAAGCAGCAACCUGUCGUUUCAGCAAUGCAAGGCUUCCCCUCAGUGGCAACAAGGCAGCAGGGUGUCCUGCUGCUCCGCCACAAUAAAAGCAUUUUGCUUUUUUUUUUUUUUUUUUCAAAGGCGAAGUCCAGUAAAAACGUGGCUCUGAAGUAAAGGAAAUAUUUACAGCAGAGGCCGCUGGCUGGGCUGGGUGUAAUGGUAUACAGCACUGUGAGAGGCCAAAGUGAUACUACUUUAUGAGCCAAGACUUUUUAACUCCUUUGGUAUAGGAGACAGCUGCCUACACGAGGCAUUUAGAAACAAAUGAAACUUGAGCAGUGUCAUACUGGGAUCAUAGAAUACGGACAAAAGCAACAGAAAUGAGUAUUUUUUUUUUUACAAGAGAAGGAUUAACUGGAGAACAGUGGCUGCUGUGCUAAAGCUCAUACCCAAGUGCAGCUGGUGAGAUUGCUGACAGUGCGGGAGGCUAUUCCAGUAAUGAGGUCUUCCUGCAAAAAUACCCAUCCCCAUCAACAUCUAUUAUCUAAAAACUGAUGUCCAGGUUGAUCUAAGUUCCAAUCCUGGAAAUGAAACGGGACCAUGUUAUUAGGAGACAUGUGAGCUCAGAUUAUGCAUACAAAAAAGACGACAGCCAAAUUGUCUAUGUAUGGGGAGACUGCAUUUGCCUUACCCCAAAAGAUUUACCAGUUGCUAUGGUUACUCAAUAUUACAGCUCAAUAGAUUGGUAACGUGAACUGAUGGAUCUAGAAAUACGCUGCAAAAUGGAAUUAAAGAGGUCCUGCUGAAACACAGCCUGAAAAAUUCUGUGCUUCUGAUGAGGUGGAAGCACUGUGCUGCUGACGGGCCAGUCGUGGUUCCCAGAUGCAUGGCAGGGGUUCCACCAAAUAGCAGUGAGAUGUGUGCUUGGUGUCUUGUGCAGCCAGAGUUGUAAAACACAUGUCAAAGGGAUAAUAAAACACAGUCCAAACUGUCUCGUAUGGGAUCCCUCGAGUAAAAUCAUGACCAAGUCCCAGCAAGUACAGGGCGGAGGUAAAGGCUGGCAGCAAGCAAGGAGUCUCUCUAUGAAGUUUGAAAAUCAGCAAAGGUUUUAAGAGCUGAUCACUCGAAGUCACAGCUGUGCUGCAGGUGGCUUAUCUCAACCCUGAGCCCUCUUUCGUUGUGUUUUGUCCCCUCUUCCUUUGAGGAGGGGGAGCAAGAGUGGUGUGGUGGAGCCACCCAUUGGAGUGACACCACAGUGCCCGCCAUUGUCCUCUUCCCAAAAGAUAGAGUUUAAGGGAAGUUUUUCCCCCAUUGCAUAUUCUGCUGCAGGUAUCACCAAUUUCAUCUGCCACUGUGGUGUGCUGACUUGAUUUGCAUUGAUUCUGCCAAAAUAUGCCUAAUUUCUCCAGACACUGUCAACAGGUGUCCCACCUGCAAAUCCCAGCCUUACUGCUCCUCUCCCAGUUGGGUUUUACUCAAUGCCGUAAAAACUCAACACAUUGCCCUAUUAUGGGUUGCUGUGAUCACAGAAUGGCUUGGAUUGGAAAAGACCUUAAAGUUUAUCAUUUGGUUCCAGCCAUCCCAUGGGUAGAGUUGCCAACUGGUGAUGGCAGAUGGAAGACCAAAACCAGUCUUCAUGCUUUUUGUCUCCCAGCUCCUUUUGCUGCAGCUGUUCCCCAGCUCCAAUGGACCAGAUGCUGCCGGGACAGCAGGAGAAGGGAAAAGCCUAUGGCAUGACGGUGCAGAAUGUGGGAAGCAGAGACCUCCAUCAGCAAAAUGGGAAAGCAGAAUUUCUCUUCCAUAGGGUGUUUAGUAAGGGGAAAUUCAGAAAUGACCAAGUUUGAGUGCUGUGCUGGUGGAGAGACGAUGGGGGUCAAAGGUGGGAAUGGAGUGGGGAGAAAUAUGGCAGUUUUUAAAGGGCAGCCAGGGAAGACGUGCAAACACUGAGAGCAUUUUAAAGAAGCAAAGGGAUGAAAACCAGCCUGAAAAAAAGCACAUGAAAUGAGAAAAAUUGCA